AAUGCACUCAUUUGUAAGUCGCUCUGGAUAAGAGCGUCUGCUAAAUGAAGUAAA
rfam:Salmo salar isolate Sally breed double haploid chromosome ssa21, whole genome shotgun sequence.